rnacentral:misc_RNA from 1 species
GAUGAAGUACGCAGCGAAAUGCGAUAAGUAAUGUGAAUUGCAGAAUUCAGUGAAUCAUCGAAUCUUUGAACGCACCUUGCACCCUUUGGCAUUCCGAAGGGUAUGCUCGUUUGAGUGUCAUUGUACUCUCACACUCUCCGAUCCUAUGGAUUCGGGGAGCGGUGGACUUGGGUGUUGCUGCCUUUCCUUGUGGCUCACCUCAAAUGUGUCAGUGCACCUCUUGGUUGGACAUAGUACGGCGUGAUAAGUGUCUUCGCCGGCACCUCGCAAGAGGGUGGCCGAUCGGGAGCUCUGUGCUUUCAAACCGUCUUCGGACAAUUUCUGACAACUUGACCUCAAAUCGAGUAGGACUACCCGCUGAACUUAAGCAUAUCAAUAAGCGGAGGA